GCAUCGAUGAAGAACGCAGCGAAAUGCGAUACGUAAUGCGAAUUGCAGAUUCAGCGAGUCAUCGAAUCUUUGAACGCACAUUGCGCCCGCCAGCAUUCUGGCGGGCAUGCCUGUCCGAGCGUCAUU
rnacentral:rRNA from 1 species